rnacentral:lncRNA from 1 species
CUAAGGAAAUCUAUAAUGUCUUCACAAUGUGAACAUUCUGCUUGAGCAAAUUCCAGAGGAGUUUUAUUUUUUUUGUUUUUAGCACUAGUGUCAGCACCUUUUCCUACAAGGUACUGCACCAUCUUUAAGUUACUGGAAGAGCGACUAGCAAGAUGCAAUAGGGUAUUCCCAAAAUAAUCCUUAGAAUCCUUAGCAUUAACAUUAGCACCUUUUUCUACAAUAUAUUUCACCACUUCAAAGUUAGAAUAGCGAACAGCAAGGCGUAAGAUGGCAUCUUUCUCAUCACCUCUAGCGUCAAUACCAGCACCUUUAUCCAUAAGAUACUUUGCUAUAUCAAAAGUACUGGAGGGAAUAACAAUAGCAAUAACGAGAGGUGUCCUAUAUUGAUUAUUUCUGGCAUUAAUAUCAGCAUCUUUUUCGACAAGAUACUUUACUAAAUCUAGAUUGCCAAUAGAACUAGCUCUGUGCAAGAUGGUAGAUCCAUAUUUAUCUUUAACAUGAAUAUCAGUACCUUUUCCUACAAGAUACUUUACCAUUUCCACAUUAGAAGAACGCACAGCAGGAUACAAUGAGGUCUGCNNNNNNNNNNNNNNNNNNNNNNNNNNNNNNNNNUUUUCUACAAGAUACUUUACCAAUUCUGCAUUAGAAGAACGGACAGCAAGAUGCAAUGGGGUCUUCCCAUCUUUACCCUUAGCAUUAACAUCAGCACCUUUUUCUAUAAGAUACUUCACUAUAUCUACAUGAUUAUUACUAACAGAUACGUGUAAGGCUGUGUUAUGAUUAUUAUUGGCAGCGUUAAUAAUAUCAGGCUUUUUAUCUAUAAGAAGUUUAACUACCUCCAAUUGAGCUUUCUCAACAGCUACAUGUAACGGUGUAUUACCAUUUUUAGCGUAGAAAUCAACACCUGGGAUAUCUAUAAACCACUUAAUCAUAUACAUGUUACCUUCUUGCACUGCUGUGUGUAAAGGUGUAUAACCUAUAUUAUUUUUAGAAUUAAUAUCAGCACCUUUUUCUAUGAGAUACCUUAAUGUAUCCACAUGAUUACUACUAACAGCUAUGUGCAAUGGAGUGUUUCCUUGAUUAUCUUGAGCAUUAAUACUUGCACCUUUUUCUACAAGACACUUCACUGUACUUAGAUUAUUAUUACUAACAGCUAUGUGCAAUGGAGUCUCUUCACCUGUAUCCUUAAUGUUAAUAUUAGCGCCUUUUUCUAUGAGAAACUUUAUCAUAUCUAAAUUGCCGGAAGAACUAGCACUGUGCAAUGGGGCGUAUCCUUCAUUAUCUUCAGCAUUAAUAUCAAAACCUUUCUCUAUAAGAUACUCUGCUAUAUCUAAGCUUCCGGAAGAAGAAUAAGCAAUAAUAUGCAAGAGUGUGUGUCCUGCAUGAUCUUUAUAUUUAACACUAAUAUCAGCGCCUUUUGAUACAAGAUACUUUACUAUAUUUAAAUGAUUAUUACUAACAGCAUCGCGCAAUGGGGUAUCUCCAUAAUCAUCUCUAGAAUUAACAUCAGCACCUUUUUCUACAAGAUACUCUACCACCGCAAAAUUGGAAAAAUGAAUGGCAAUGUGCAAUGGUGUUUGUCCAUCUUUAUUUCUGGCGUUAAUAAUAUCAGGCUUUUUAUCUAUAAGAAGUUUAACUACCUCCAAUUGAGCUUUUUUAACAGCUACAUGUAUUGGUGUAUUACCAUCUUUACCCUUAGCAUUAAUAUCAGCACCUUUUUCUACAAGAGUCUUAACUUUACCGUAGUCUUCAGCUUCUAUAGCACUAAAUAAUUCGUCAUCAGUAGUAUUCUGAACAUCACGACGUACGCGACUCGUACUCUUUUCUUUGAGGAGAUCUAUAAUGUCUUUACAAUUUGAACAUUCUGUUUUAGCAAUAUCCAAAGGUGUUCUGCCUUUAUUGUCCUUGGCACUAACAUUAGCACUUCUUUUUAUUAAACUCCUCACUAUCUCCAAAUUGGAAGAACUACCAGCAGCUAGGUGCAAUGAAGUAAGCCCAUUAUUUUCUGCAACAUUAGCAUCAGCACCUUUUUCUAGAAGAUACUGUACAAUCUCCAAGUUGGAAUUAAGAACAGCAAAAUGCAAGGGAGUAUGAUUCACAGAACCUUUAGCCAUAAUAUCAGCACCUUGCCUUAUGAGAUACUUUACUACCUCUAAUGUAGAAAAACGAGCAGCUAGGUGCAAUGGGGUGUUCCCAUUAUUAUCUCUAGCAUUAGAAUCAGCACCUUUUUUUACAAGAUACUCUAUAACUGCUAACUUGUAGUGAUCAGAGCGAAUAGCAUUGUGCAAUGGAGUAUUUCCAUCUUUAUCUUUAGCCUUAACAUCAGCACCUUUGUCUAUAAGAUACUCUAUUAUAUCUAAAUUGCCAGAAUAACUAGCAUAAUGUAAAGGGGACUGCUUAUGAUUAUCGCUAGUAUUAACAUCAGCACCUUCUUUUACAAAAUUCUGAACUUUAUUAUAAUCUCCCGCGACUGCGGCAAUCAAUAAUUCGUCAUUUAAACUCAUUUAACCCUCCUUUUUAUAAUUAGCCUCACCCCACGCAAGGCAGUCUAGCAGCAUAUUUUUAUAAAUCAACCCUUUUAUCACACAAAAUCAUCAUUUUUUUCAAGGGGAUACAAAUUCAAUUUAUGGGAAAAAGAGAAGUGCAAGCAAAGUAAUCCAAUUUUUAUAAAUCUACUAUAUAAAGUACAAAAAACAAAUUGAUAUACAAAAUAUAGAUGUUAGCUGAUGCUUGGACCCUACUUAUACUCACACUACUUGAAAUUGUACUUGGUAUAGACAACUUAAUUUUUAUUUCUCUGGCAAUUGACAAAGCACCAAAACACCUGAGAGAAAGAGCACGUUUUUUUGGCCUUGGAUUAGCAUUAUUAAUGCGUCUUGUAACACUAUUUUUUAUAUCACUGACAUUAUCUAUGCAAAAACCCAUAUUUUAUAUUGCAUCAUUAGGUAUCUCAAUAAAGGAU